CCUACGGGUGGCAGCAGUGGGGAAUAUUGCGCAAUGGGCGCAAGCCUGACCCAGCAACGCCGCGUGAAGGAAGAAGGCUUUCGGGUUGUAAACUUCUUUUGUCAGGGACGAAGCAAGUGACGGUACCUGCCGAAUAAGCCACGGCUAACUACGUGCCAGCAGCCGCGGUACUACGUAGGGGGCACGCGUUAUCCGGAUUUACUGGGUGUAAAGGGCGUGUAGGCGGGGAGGCAAGUCAGAUGUGAAAACCACGGGCUCAACCUGUGGCCUGCAUUUGAAACUGGUUGUCUAGAGUGCUGGAGAGGAGAUCGGAAUUCCGGGUGUAGCGGUGAAAUGCGUAGAUAUACGGAGGAACACCAGUGGCGAAGGCGGAUUGCUGGACAGUAACUGACGCUGAGGCGCGAAAGCGUGGGGAGCAAACAGGAUUAGAUACCCUAGUAGUC
rnacentral:rRNA from 1 species